GUACGGGGGGGGCAAGCGUUGUUCGGAUUCAUUGGGCGUAAAGCGUGCGCAGGCGGCUUUGCAAGACAGAUGUGAAAUCCCCGGGCUUAACCUGGGAACUGCAUUUGUGACUGCAUGGCUGGAGUGCGGCAGAGGGGGAUGGAAUUCCGCGUGUAGCAGUGAAAUGCGUAGAUAUGCGGAGGAACACCGAUGGCGAAGGCAAUCCCCUGGGCCUGCACUGACGCUCAUGCACGAAAGCGUGGGGAGCAAACAGG
rnacentral:rRNA from 1 species